rnacentral:rRNA from 1 species
GGUUGCGAUCAUACCAGCACUAAUGCACCGGAUCCCAUAAGAACUCCGCAGUCAAGCGAACUUGGGCGAGAGUAGUACUAGGAUGGGUGACCCCCUGGGAAGUCCUCGUGUUGCAACCC